GUUAGCAUUUUUUUUUGUUACGAUUGCAUAUAUUUUUUUUUAAGCCGUUAGGAUGACUGAGACAGGAGCGCCUCAAAGGGGACUCCUUGCCACCACAAAUUUUGAAUUCCAAGUGAAUAUAAUUAUUCCCAACGGACGUAGAAAGUAUGGGUAGGAGAUCCAUAAUUUGGCGAUUUAUCAUAAUAUAUCAUAGCCAAAACAAAGCCAACUAGCAUAUCAAUAUGGGUUUAACCAAUACCUCCUAGAGAGGAAUCAAGCCCCACAACGGGUUACUAAGGCGUAGUAGAGUUAGGCCCAGAGGAAUUCCAGUCAGGGUAGCUAUUUUUACGAAAAACUCCGAAUCUGAUCAAACGAGCCAUUGGCGAUAUUCUGAAGUAUUAUAACCUGUGUCGGCAUUCAGCCAAUGGGCGAAUAUUUUUGAUUUGAAUUUGUAAACAACCGUCGGUGUUCUGAUGUCAACGUUCUUCAUAAAAUUUAUAUUUAUUCUACAAAUGUUAUAAAUAUCAGCAUUAAUUUAAUUCUUAGUGUUAUGAAUAAUUGCAUAUGAGUGCUGUGUACCAAACUGCAGAGGAUUUUACAAAGUUGAUGGUACAAAAGUAUUAAAUUUUGGAUUUCCCAAUACGUAAGAAAUGGCUUGCCGCCAUGCCAAGAGAUUUUGAAGUUGCAAAGAAUUCUAAAGUAUGUGAGAUGCAUUUCAAGGAAAAUGACAUUA